rnacentral:rRNA from 1 species
GAUGUACGCUAGCUACAGGCUUAACACAUGCAAGUCGAGGGGAAACGACAUCGAAAGCUUGCUUUUGAUGGGCGUCGACCGGCGCACGGGUGAGUAACGCGUAUCCAACCUGCCCAUCACUUGGGAAUAACCUUGCGAAAGUAAGACUAAUACCCAAUGACAUCCCACGAAGACAUCUGAAUGGGAUUAAAGAUUUAUCGGUGAUGGAUGGGGAUGCGUCUGAUUAGCUUGUUGGCGGGGUAACGGCCCACCAAGGCAACGAUCAGUAGGGGUUAUGAGAGGAAGGUCCCCCACAUUGGAACUGAGACACGGUCCAAACUCCUACGGGAGGCAGCAGUGAGGAAUAUUGGUCAAUGGGCGAGAGCCUGAACCAGCCAAGUAGCGUGCAGAAUGACGGCCCUAUGGGUUGUAAACUGCUUUUAUAAGGGAAUAAAGUGGGUCUCGUGAGACUUUUUGCAUGUACCUUAUGAAUAAGGACCGGCUAAUUCCGUG